rnacentral:misc_RNA from 1 species
CCCAACCUCCCAUCCGUGUCUAUUGUACCCUGUUGCUUCGGCGGGCCCGCCGCUUGUCGGCCGCCGGGGGGGCGCCUCUGCCCCCCGGGCCCGUGCCCGCCGGAGACCCCAACACGAACACUGUCUGAAAGCGUGCAGUCUGAGUUGAUUGAAUGCAAUCAGUUA